UACGAAGGGGGCUAGCGUUGCUCGGAAUCACUGGGCGUAAAGGGCGCGUAGGCGGAUCUUUAAGUCGGGGGUGAAAGCCCAGGGCUCAACCCUGGAAUUGCCUUCGAUACUGAAGAUCUCGAGACCGGAAGAGGUAAGUGGAACUGCGAGUGUAGAGGUGAAAUUCGUAGAUAUUCGCAAGAACACCAGUGGCGAAGGCGGCUAACUGGUCCGGUUCUGACGCUGAGGCGCGAAAGCGUGGGGAGCAAACAGG
rnacentral:rRNA from 1 species